AAGUUCCAAGUUUUGAGUUUAUCUUAAACACUUGUUACAUGGCACCUGAUACUUUAUUACAUUUCUAGUGGCGACGGGUGAGUAACACGUUGGAACCUGCCCCAAAGUGAGGAAUAAGCCACCGAAAGGUGGUCUAAUACUUCAUAAUAUCCAUCUCGUAUGGAUUAAAGCUUUAUGCGCUUUGGGAGGGGCCUGCGUAACAUUAGCUUGUUGGUGAGGGUAAAAGCUCACCAAGGCUUCGAUGUUUAACUGGUUUGAGAGGAUGACCAGUCACACUGGGACUGAGAUACGGCCCAGACUCCUACGGGAGGCAGCAGUAAGGAAUCUUCCACAAUGGGGCAACCCUGAUGGAGCAAUACCGCGUGCAGGAUGAAGCGUUUCGGCGUGUAAACUGCUUUUAUCACCGAAGAUUAUGACUGUAGGUGAAGAAUAAGGACCGGCUAACUACGUG
rnacentral:rRNA from 1 species